rnacentral:tRNA from 1 species
AGGGCCUAAGCAUAGUGUUUAAGAGCUUGGUUGCUAACCAAAAGGUUGGUGGUUCAAAUCCACCAGCUGUUC